GAGUUUGAUCCUGGCUCAGAUUGAACGCUGGCGGCAUGCUUUACACAUGCAAGUCGAACGGUAACAGGCCGCAAGGUGCUGACGAGUGGCGAACGGGUGAGUAAUGCAUCGGAACGUGCCCAGUCGUGGGGGAUAACGCAGCGAAAGCUGCGCUAAUACCGCAUACGAUCUGUGGAUGAAAGCGGGGGACCUUAGGGCCUCGCGCGAUUGGAGCGGCCGAUGUCAGAUUAGGUAGUUGGUGGGGUAAAGGCUCACCAAGCCGACGAUCUGUAGCUGGUCUGAGAGGACGACCAGCCACACUGGGACUGAGACACGGCCCAGACUCCUACGGGAGGCAGCAGUGGGGAAUUUUGGACAAUGGGGGCAACCCUGAUCCAGCAAUGCCGCGUGCAGGAAGAAGGCCUUCGGGUUGUAAACUGCUUUUGUACGGAACGAAAAGGCUCUGGUUAAUACCUGGGGCACAUGACGGUACCGUAAGAAUAAGCACCGGCUAACUACGUGCCAGCAGCCGCGGUAAUACGUAGGGUGCGAGCGUUAAUCGGAAUUACUGGGCGUAAAGCGUGCGCAGGCGGUGCUG
rnacentral:rRNA from 1 species